GGGAUUGUCACUAGGGAACUGUUAAUGGAAUCUUGACUUAUUUGAGGCCUUACAAUUAUUCUGAAAAAAAAAAUCAGGAUGUUUAUGAUUUACACUGUCAGGUGUUUUUAGUGUUUCUAUAAAUAUAUAAACAUAUUUAAAGUCUCCAUGGACAACUCCAGUGUGCUCAUAGUGUAUAUACUCUAAAUGAGUUACUACAGAUAUUAACCAGUUUAUUAUAUACAAACAUGAUAGGUAGUGCAUAACUGAUUUUUACUAAAUUUGAUUCUUAUUAUGCUCAGUUCACCACCUGGUAACUUGCACAUCCUUGAGGGAUGUGAGCACUCAGGAGUUUAGAAAGCUGGCCCACUUUGGCUGGCUUGAGAGUGUGGUGAACCUCAACAAGAUGCCCUGGCCUGUAAGGGAAGAAAUGUGUCCCAUUUGCUGAGUUAUUUUUUUAAAGACUGUGGGAUACUCCAGUACCGGGAAGCGUGGAGCUCCCCAGGGAAAUUCUAUGGACACCUGAUUUCCUAGACAGUGCCCAGAAAGUCAAUUUUAAGGCAGUAGAAUGGACUGUGUAUUAGGCUUUUUUACCGUUUAUUUAUACUAGUUAUCUUACUGAGAAUAAAUCUUUUGUUAAUGGACAUUAAAACAUAGUUAAGAGUUGAUUUGGUGUUGAGCUUGACUGCUUGGGAAAUUGUUUGUUUGAUCAUUUUGGCAUAUCUAUGCACAUGUAGGAGGAGGAGCAAACGGAUCAUUCCAGGUCCACACCUGCGGAUUACCUGGUUUGGGGGGCCCGUUGCUGUCCCUGUCCUUGUCCACCUGGUCAUACUUCAGACCUAGUCUAAAAUCAAAUAGACUCUAGAUUUAGCCCAGAGAAAUGCAUUUAUUAUUCCAAUUGGACUCUUAAUAUCUAACCCGGCACAGCCAGAAGAGGACUGGUCACCCCUCUGAGCCUGGGUCCUCUCUAGGUUUCUUCCUAAAAUUCGACCUUCUUAGUUUUUCCUAGCCACCGCAAUUCAACACUACUGUUGUUUGCUCCUUGGGGUUUAAGGCCGGGUGUCUCUGUAAAGCACUUUGUGACAACUGCUGUUGUAAAAAGGGCUUUAUAAAUACAUUUGAUUGAUUGAUCCCAGCCACCCAUGCCACGGACUGUUUACCAACCUGCCAUCAGGCAGAAGAUACAGGAGCAUUCAGUCCAAAACUAACAGGCUACAGGACAGCUUUUUCCACAGGCUGUAAGGCUGCUCAACUCAGGGACCCCUCUUCCCUUCCAUCCAUAGCCCAUUCACACCUGUCACUUAUAUCAUGCACACCUGUAACUUCUGCAUUACACUAUGGUUGUAUAGUUGUAUUGUUAUUAUUAUUUUUGUAUAGUGUUUUUACUGAUUGAUUGUGUUAUCUUCUUAUUUUUUUUUAAUUAUAAUUACUGUCACUUUUCAACUUAACUGCACAUUCGGGAGUAGGAAAAUCAAGCAUUUCAUUGCUGUAACUUGUUACUGCAAAUGACAAAUAAACCUUUUGACUUUGGACAUAAUAUAAUCAUUGUUGAUGUACAGCUAGAAAUUGGUAUGGCCUUUUAAGAGUUUUGAGGUAGGAUGGUAUAAAC
ensembl:lncRNA